rnacentral:rRNA from 1 species
AGCGCGGAAGGAUGGUACUUGUACCAACUGGAUGAGCAGCGAACGGGUGAGUAACGCGUGGGGAAUCUGCCUUUGAGCGGGGGACAACAUUUGGAAACGAAUGCUAAUACCGCAUAAAAACUUUAAACACAAGUUUUAAGUUUGAAAGAUGCAAUUGCAUCACUCAAAGAUGAUCCCGCGUUGUAUUAGCUAGUUGGUGAGGUAAAGGCUCACCAAGGCGAUGAUACAUAGCCGACCUGAGAGGGUGAUCGGCCACAUUGGGACUGAGACACGGCCCAAACUCCUACGGGAGGCAGCAGUAGGGAAUCUUCGGCAAUGGACGAAAGUCUGACCGAGCAACGCCGCGUGAGUGAAGAAGGUUUUCGGAUCGUAAAACUCUGUUGGUAGAGAAGAACGUUGGUGAGAGUGGAAAGCUCAUCAAGUGACGGUAACUACCCAGAAAGGGACGGCUAACUACGUGCCAGCAGCCGCGGUAAUACGUAGGUCCCGAGCGUUGUCCGGAUUUAUUGGGCGUAAAGCGAGCGCAGGUGGUUUAUUAAGUCUGGUGUAAAAGGCAGUGGCUCAACCAUUGUAUGCAUUGGAAACUGGUAGACUUGAGUGCAGGAGAGGAGAGUGGAAUUCCAUGUGUAGCGGUGAAAUGCGUAGAUAUAUGGAGGAACACCGGUGGCGAAAGCGGCUCUCUGGCCUGUAACUGACACUGAGGCUCG